AGUACUUUCAGUCGUGAGGAAGGUGUUAAGGUUAAUAAGCUUAGCAAUUGACGUUAGCGACAGAAGAAGCACCGGCUAACUCCGUGCCAGCAGCCGCGGUAAUACGGAGGGUGCGAGCGUUAAUCGGAAUUACUGGGCGUAAAGGGCACGCAGGCGGUUAAUUAAGUUGGAUGUGAAAUCCCCGGGCUUAACCUGGGAAUGGCAUUCAAGACUGGUUAGCUAGAGUCUUGUAGAGGGGGGUAGAAUUCCAUGUGUAGCGGUGAAAUGCGUAGAGAUGUGGAGGAAUACCGGUGGCGAAGGCGGCCCCCUGGACAAAGACUGACGCUCAUGUGCGAAAGCGUGGGGAGCAAACAGGAUUAGAUACCCUGGUAGUCCACGCUGUAAACGAUGUCGAUUUGGAGGUUGUGGUCAAGAACUGUGGCCUCCGGAGCUAACGCGUUAAAUCGACCGCCUGGGGAGUACGGCCGCAAGGUUAAAACUCAAAUGAAUUGACGGGGGCCCGCACAAGCGGUGGAGCAUGUGGUUUAAUUCGAUGCAACGCGAAGA
rnacentral:rRNA from 1 species